AGCUUUGCGCAGUGGCAGUAUCGUAGCCAAUGAGGUUUAUCCGAGGCGCGAUUAUUGCUAAUUAAAGACGGACGAAGUCUACCACCACAGUGAUUGUU
rnacentral:snRNA from 1 species